CGAACGGGUGAGUAACGCGUGAGGAACCUGCCUCAAAGAGGGGGACAACAGUUGGAAACGACUGCUAAUACCGCAUAAGCCCACGGCUCGGCAUCGAGCAGAGGGGAAAGGAGUGAUCCGCUUUGAGAUGGCCUCGCGUCCGAUUAGCUAGUUGGUGAGGUAACGGCCCACCAAGGCGACGAUCGGUAGCCGGACUGAGAGGUUGAACGGCCACAUUGGGACUGAGACACGGCCCAG
rnacentral:rRNA from 1 species